GUCGAGCGGGCGUAGCAAUACGUCAGCGGCAGACGGGUGAGUAACGCGUGGGAACGUACCUUUUGGUUCGGAACAACACAGGGAAACUUGUGCUAAUACCGGAUAAGCCCUUACGGGGAAAGAUUUAUCGCCGAAAGAUCGGCCCGCGUCUGAUUAGCUAGUUGGUGAGGUAAUGGCUCACCAAGGCGACGAUCAGUAGCUGGUCUGAGAGGAUGAUCAGCCACAUUGGGACUGAGACACGGCCCAAACUCCUACGGGAGGCAGCAGUGGGGAAUAUUGGACAAUGGGGGCAACCCUGAUCCAGCCAUGCCGCGUGAGUGAUGAAGGCCCUAGGGUUGUAAAGCUCUUUUGUGCGGGAAGAUAAUGACGGUACCGCAAGAAUAAGCCCCGGCUAACUUCGUGCCAGCAGCCGCGGUAAUACGAAGGGGGCUAGCGUUGCUCGGAAUCACUGGGCGUAAAGGGUGCGUAGGCGGGUCUUUAAGUCAGGGGUGAAAUCCUGGAGCUCAACUCCAGAACUGCCUUUGAUACUGAGGAUCUUGAGUUCGGGAGAGGUGAGUGGAACUGCUAGUGUAGAGAUGAAAUUCGUAGAUAUUCGCAAGAACACCAGUGGCGAAGGCGGCU
rnacentral:rRNA from 1 species